rnacentral:rRNA from 1 species
CUACGGGUUGCUCCAGUGAGGAAUAUUGCACAAUGGGGGGAACCCUGAUGCAGCAACGCCGCGUGGAGGAUGACGCAUUUCGGUGUGUAAACUCCUUUUAUAUGUCAAGAAAAUGACGGUAGCAUAUGAAUAAGCACCGGCUAACUCCGUGCCAGCAGCCGCGGUAAUACGGAGGGUGCAAGCGUUACUCGGAAUCACUGGGCGUAAAGGACGCGUAGGCGGGUUGGAAAGUCAGGUGUGAAAUCCUACAGCUUAACUGUAGGAUUGCACUUGAAACUUCUAAUCUAGAGUAUGGGAGGGGGAGAUGGAAUUAGUGGUGUAGGGGUAAAAUCCGUAGAUAUCACUAGGAAUACCUAAAGCGAAGGCGAUCUCCUGGAACAUUACUGACGCUAAGGCGUGAAAGCGUGGGGAGCAAACAGGAUUAGAUACCCCGGUAGUC